CCUUGGAUUAUACAAUAAUAAUUGAAAUUGGCAAAUAAGAAAGAAGAAGAAAAAGAAAAACAUAUCAGGCGCUACUUGUUUUUCG
rnacentral:ribozyme from 14 species